ACACGACUACAUUAGAUACCCGCGUAGUCCCAGCCCUAAACGAUGCGCGUUAGGUGUAUCGGUGACCACGAGUCACCGAGGUGCCGAAGGGAACCGUGAAACGUGCCGCCUGGGAAGUACGGUCGCAAGGCUGAAACUUAAAGGAAUUGGCGGGGAGCACCGCAACGGGAGGAGCGUGCGGUUCAAUUGGAUUCAACGCCGGACAACUCACCAGGAGCGACGGUUACAUGAAGGCCAGGCUGAUGACCUUGCCUGAUUUUCCG
rnacentral:rRNA from 1 species